UGGCUAAUGGUGUAAAAUGACUUCCAUAGACUUUAACUAAAGAAGCUUUAUAUGUGGAGUGCAUGCUGUGUUAUGACAAUCUGGACCCAUAGAAUACAUACAUGCUGCAUGCAUUAAUUGGCCGGAUUGCAGGUAUUGUUCUUGGCUGUCAAAUUUUUACUGUUCCAUUCUGAUCUCUCAGCAAAUAUUUGGACAAUGGGACUGCUUUAGAGAAGAAGUUGGGGGAGUGAAAGUUGCACGACAGGAAAGCAUGGCUUAUAAAAUCAUGGCUUUGUCCAAGCUGAAGCACAAGCAUGAACAAAGUCCAAUACGUGAGAAGAAUCUACCGCUGUAUGCUGGUCUUUAGGACUUGAUCAAAAUGUCAGAUUCUGCUCUGAUAAACCAAGAAUUACCAAUAAUGGAAUAUUUGUAGAAUUGUAUGCCAUAGGUGGCUCUUCCUUUUAAACACACUGUUAAAGAUCUUCUUUGCUGUCAGAAGCUCAGCUAGAUAAGCCGCGCCCUCACAGAAAACUUUUGAAGCAUGAACAUUUACAGAUCCAUGUAUAAGUUAAGGCAAGGACUUUAAGUUACUCUUACAGGUUUAAUGAUACUAAAAAAACAGCUAAGCAAUGAUAUGUUUGUGAUGUCCCUGUACAGGACAUGGUCGGGGCUUCCCUGCAAAGUCUCUCCCUGUUGGUUUUAUUAAGGUGUGUGUGUCAGUUUAAUACCUAGACAGUAUCCUUGUGUAUAAGUAGUAUUAAGGACCUGUGGGAGGUCUCAAGGACCUGUGUGUAAGUCUGUCACAUGUUAUGUUAUGCAAUCACAUUAUUCGUUGUCACAUGUUCUCCCAGAGAGCACCAGCUUAACCUAUGACCCGCAGCUUCACCCAUGGGCUUAAGUCCAGCCCCCCACUAUAUAAAGGGGCGGCCAUUACAAUUCACGCUCUUGUACCAUCAGUCUUUACUGAGACAGCCACCACCAGAGAUCUCAGUGCAAGUGAUAAGCAUCUGCAAGACCCCAAAAGCUACAGUCAUUCCAGUAAGUCUCAAGUCUAUGUCUACUGUCACUGAAACUAGUCAAGUCCUGCACAUAGUCAAGUCAAGUCUAAUUUCAAGUCAAGUUAACAACAAGUAUAUUGGUCCAGCAAGCUGCGAGGUCCUCUGGGUCCUGGCCACCUCUCUGUGAAUUCUGGCCUUAGCUGUGAAGAUAAUUACAACUGUCUUC